ACAGCGGGCGCAGCGAGCGCAGGUCGGAUGGUAGUGUUUCCCUCCCGCCUGAGGAGAGGAGAGGAGAGGAGAGGAGAGGAGAGGUGUGAGGGAACAUAAAUUACCAUCAUAAACAGUUUCACAGAGUAGGGGCUAAUCUACAAUUUGGGGGCCCAUCUUGAGCAGGUCAUUGUCUCCAUAUGUUUUCUACCGUAUAUCACCUGACCCCAAAUGGCCUCAUAAUGUAUUGAGACAUCAUAGCAUAGCCUGUAGUUGUUUCAUCAGCAUGCAGCAGUGACAUGAUAGCCACCACCCAUUCUCCUCCAUGCCUUAAUUAGAGCAAAAGAUCCCUGUAGGUCAGUCACAUGAAGAAAUGUGUUGGAGUGUGUGUGUGUGUGUGUGUGUGUGUGCUACAGAGAGAAAGAGGGAAGUAGGUGGCUGUGGAAGUGAAGGACACAAGAGUGCGAUACAUGUCCUUGGACAUCCUGAGUACCCCGAGGGAACACAUCCGAACUCAUGUUGCGCAGGGCUGACAGCUGAGGCGUGGCCCUGUCCCGUCACCUCUGCCUUCCUGACACACCAUUAGAGAAUUUCUAUUUAUAGAAGCACUGCUGACAUGUGGCGUGUGUCAAGGAGACCUGAACUGUUUCAUCUGAACACACCCAGAAUGUGUGUUUUGUGUGUGUUAGGAAAGCCAGAAGAGGAUGCUGCACGCCAGCAUUUCCAUCUCGUGCUUUCCGAGCAGCAGAGCGUUUACCGUCUGUGGUCAUAUGGUAUCAGUACAGCAACUGCUGUUACUGUUUCUAAUGAGGCCCCCAUUCUCUUCAUGGCAUUAAUAGGAUGCUAUAUUUAUUGGCGAACAGAGAUACCGAGGGAGGAAGGGAAAGGAAAUAAGUGAAACUAAAUAAAGGGAAGUUUUGUGCUCCUAUGACUUUCAUUUCCUCUCCUUAUUUCUCCCUGUCUCCAUCUUCUCUAAACUACUCAUUACACUAACAAUGUUUGUCUCUGGAAAGUCGGACAGAAGAGGAGCUCUGUGCUGCUGUGGAGCACUCGAACAAGCCUAAUGAUCGACAUAGACACAAACAGAGACGGAUUACAUUUAGAUACAUUAUAUUUUCAAUGAAAGAAACUUCACCAAUUUUAGAAUAAAACUAUACUUUACUUUAAAACAGAUAAAUGGAGGACUUAUUAGUAUCUGUGAAAGGACCCAGAUAGAGUUAAUAUAAUAUUCUUGUCUUACAUUUCUACUGUAUUUUUGGCGUGUUAGUGUUCUGGAUCAGACUUCUUGUAAAUCAGUUGCGCGCUACAUCUUAAAGAAGUGAACCAUUAUGAUAUCAAAAUCUGACAGAAGAGACACACACACACAUGUUAAGAGAGCGAGAGAGAGAGACAUAGAGAAAAGAGAGAGA